GCAGAUACGCUAGCUACAGGCUUAACACAUGCAAGUCGAGGGGCAGCAUGAACUUAGCUUGCUAAGUUUGAUGGCGACCGGCGCACGGGUGAGUAACACGUAUCCAACCUGCCGAUGACUCGGGGAUAGCCUUUCGAAAGAAAGAUUAAUACCCGAUGGCAUAAUUCUUCCGCAUGGUAGAACUAUUAAAGAAUUUCGGUCAUCGAUGGGGAUGCGUUCCAUUAGGUUGUUGGCGGGGUAACGGCCCACCAAGCCUUCGAUGGAUAGGGGUUCUGAGAGGAAGGUCCCCCACAUUGGAACUGAGACACGGUCCAAACUCCUACGGGAGGCAGCAGUGAGGAAUAUUGGUCAAUGGACGAGAGUCUGAACCAGCCAAGUAGCGUGAAGGAUGACUGCCCUAUGGGUUGUAAACUUCUUUUAUACGGGAAUAAAGUGAGGGACGUGUCCCUUUUUGUAUGUACCUUAUGAAUAAGGAUCGGCUAACUCCGUGCCAGCAGCCGCGGUAAUACGGAGGAUCCGAGCGUUAUCCGGAUUUAUUGGGUUUAAAGGGAGCGUAGGUUGACAUAUAAGUCAGCCGUGAAAGUUUACGGCUCAACCGUGAAAUUGCAGUUGAUACUGUAUGUCUUGAGUGUACAAGAGGUGGGCGGAAUUCGUGGUGUAGCGGUGAAAUGCUUAGAUAUCACGAAGAACUCCGAUUG
rnacentral:rRNA from 1 species